UGAACAACCUGUCAGGUAUUAAAUCUUGUGGAUGUUUCACAUGAAAGCUUUCACAAGCUGACCAUAAGGUGUGCGGCAUGCCCAUAUGCAGUAUGUAUGUGCGCUGCCAAAGCAGCUCAUACAUAUUGAAAAAGUACCUCUGGAAGCAUGGUUUAAAGUCUCUCAAUUAUGUAUCUGGUCAGAUGCUGUGUUUGCUCACACCUCAUUACACACACUCUCCUUUAUCCCACUUCUGUGGGAGAGGAACAGUAAAUGCCAGCCGCUCAUUUAGCCAGGAGUGGUUAACAUUUAGGAAAACAGUGAGGAAAAACAGAUGGUGAGGAGAGGCGUGAGGCAGAAAGAGACGUCCUACAUUUUGACAAAUGAAUCAUCGGCCUAAAUGCAGGUCUGACAACACAACCAAAAAAAGAAAUGUAGAAGAAGAAGAUAGAAAACCCCAUAAGAGGCAGUGGACAUGAACACGGUAUGACCAUGACUGAAAUAAGCUUUGCCAACCAAUGAGAUAAAGGAAAUCAGUCGCUCGUCCUCCCUUGUGUGACAGUGCCCUCAUGCACAGAAUGACUGCAUCGUUACGGUUACUGAUUGGAUUGAAGUCGGCAACUGAUCACAUCGUCAUGGUAACUAAUGGCAUUACCAAGCUAACUGAUCACUUUGUCUUAGAGACAGACACCGCUGGAAAAGAGAGUGGAAGGAGGAGACCCCUGAUUGCUAUGAAAUGUCUGUCUCUGUGUGUUUGUGUCCUUUUACAUUUUUCUGGUUAUGGAUAAACAAAGUAAACUGCACACGGGCGGGAGGUAAAUGAGCAUUCAGGAUGAUAAGUCGAUUUCCAAAUAACUUUUGAAGGGGCCGGAGAUGCUGGGCGUUCUGCAUGAGCGGUUAAGGUCAGAGCAGAAUCAGUCAUGCAAGUAAAGCACCAUCUCUACACUGUGGUGUUUCUGUAGUCCCAUCUGCACUCAUCUGGAGGUGCAUGCGUGGGUUACACUGAGGACUGCAGCGGGAGAGACAUUAAGUCUGAGUUGAGUUUGAGAACAGGAAGAGAGGUGAUGUUCAGCUGGGUCAUCUUGACCUUGGAUCAAGUAUGAAGUGUGUGUCAACCUGGCAACACAGCCUUGCAGCUUUACCUGGCUGUAGGACACUGAUGCCAAGUGGGUUGGAAGUGCGAUUGGCCACUCUGCUCCAGCUGUUGUCGUAGUUCCUCCUCCACAGGAC